AUUGAACGCUGGCGGCGUGCUUAACACAUGCAAGUCGUGCGGUAACAGGCGUAGCAAUACGUGCUGACGAGCGGCGAACGGGUGCGUAAUACAUGGGAAUCUGCCCUUUAGUGGGGAAUAACCCGGCGAAAGCCGGGCUAAUGCCGCAUAAGAUCUUCGGAUGAAAGCGGGGGAUCGUAAGACCUCGCGCUGAUGGAUGAGCCCAUGUCGGAUUAGCUAGNGGUGAGGUAACGGCUCACCAAGGCGACGAUCCGUAGCUGGUCUGAGAGGACGGCCAGCCACACUGGGACUGAGACACGGCCCAGACUCCUACGGAGGCAGCAGUGGGAAUAUUGGACAAUGGGCGAAAGCCUGAUCCAGCGACGCCGCGUGUGUGAAGAAGGCCUGCGGGUUGUAAAGC
rnacentral:rRNA from 1 species